rnacentral:lncRNA from 1 species
CUUUCUUCAGGUUGGAGACCAGCUGGGUCCUCAUGCUGAUGAUGCGGUCAGCCAUGCCUUUCACCUCUUGCAACCAUUGCUUCCGCAAGUCUGGAGAAGUCAGGAUGGUUGCUGUGAUCCGGGCCCCAUUGAGAGGUGGGUUGGAAUACAGGGGACGGAUCAAGAUCUUCAGCUGUGACUCCACCCUUUUGGCUUCUUCUGCAUCUUUGCAGACCACCGUGAAGGCUCCCACACGCUCACCGUACAGGCCCAUGUUCUUGGCAUCCUUAUCACCAUCACCGCUGGCAAAGCCUUGGUAGGCCAUGUCAAAGAAUGCGAAGAGAUUCUUUUUCUUCACCACGGACGCUAUCUCCUUCCACUGCUCGGGACGAGGGUCCACGCCUGUGGGGUUGUGAGCGCAGGCAUGCAGGAGGAGGACACUCUGCUCUGGGAUUUUUGAUAUGUCUUCUAGGGCUCCGGAGAAGUCAAAACCGCAAGUCUUGGGGUCAUAGUAGCGAUAACCUUGGAGCUGCAUGCCGGCAUCCCUGAAGAUGGGCGUGUGAUUCCCCCAGGACGGUUUGGGCAGAAAGACAUCUUGGCUGAACUUAAAAAACCUUUGCAGAAAACUGGCCCCGACCCUUAAGGCUCCAGUCCCGGAAAUGGUCUGCACAGUGACGAACCGGCCGCUUUUCAACACUUCGUUGUUCUCGCCCAGGGCCAGUUCUGCAGAAGCCUUACAGAAUUCAGCCAGUCCCCCAAUGGGCAGGUAUUCCUUGUCCAAAUUUUUUGCAGCAAUCUGGGCCUCUGCCUUCCGGACACUGGGGAGCACGUAAGGUUUUCCGUUAUCAUCCCGGUAGGCACCAACUCCCAGGUUCAUCUUCUUGCUGUUGGUAUCUCUCUUGAAGGCUUCGGUAACGCCCAGGAUGGGAUCUGGAGGUCCCAUUUCGACAUGGGUCCACCAGGAGCUGGCUCUGGCAGAGGCUGCAGCAGCUAGGCCUGGGUGAAAGGCAGCAGCCAUCCCGGAGAGGAUGCGGCUGGAG